rnacentral:lncRNA from 1 species
UUUUUCACUGCCCUAGGGAGCAACGUAACUUUCAACAAACUGUACAAAGUUCGGCAUCGAAACCGCUACUUAUAAUAAUGAUCAUAAUUGGAAAUGGGCGGUGCGACUUUCUCGGCGUCUCUCCGCCGUCCAGCAAAAAAGACUAACUUCAACUUGCACACACUGCUCUGUGUGUGUGUGUGUGUGUUCGUUCGAGCGGUGUGGAGAAGAAACACUGUGACUAUGAUCGCUCGGGAGAGGAGAGGAGGGUACAGCGAUCUCAGUGCCGGACUCCAACAGAACUGA